AAGACCUUGCGCUUUUGGAGCGGCCGAUGCCUGAUUAGCUUGUUGGURAGGUAAARGCUUACCAAGGCUUCGAUCAGUAGCUGGUCUGAGAGGACGGCCAGCCACACUGGGACUGAGACACGGCCCAGACUCCUACGGGAGGCAGCAGUGGGGAAUUUUGGACAAUGGGGGCAACCCUGAUCCAGCCAUGCCGCGUGAGUGAAGAAGGCCUUCGGGUUGUAAAGCUCUUUCAGCCGGAAMGAAACGGUUACGGUUAAUACCCGYGAYUACUGACGGUACCGGAAGAAGAAGCACCGGCUAACUACGUGCCAGCAGCCGCGGUAAUACGUAGGGUGCGAGCGUUAAUCGGAAUUACUGGGCGUAAAGSGUGCGCAGGUGGUUUUGUGAGUCAGAUGUGAAAKCCCCGGGCUCAACCUGGGAACU
rnacentral:rRNA from 1 species